CAGCCGUAAACUAUGCGCGUUAGGUGUACUGGUGACCACGAGUCACCGGGGUGCCGAAGGGAAACCGUGAAACGUGCCGCCUGGGAAGUACGGUCGCAAGGCUGAAACUUAAAGGAAUCGGCGGGGGAGCACCACAACGGGUGGAGCCUGCGGUUUAAUUGGACUCAACGCCGGGAAGCUCACCGGAUAAGACAGCGGAAUGAUUGCCGGGCUGAAGACCCUGCAUAACCAGCUGAGAGGAGGUGCAUGGCGUAGUCGUGU
rnacentral:rRNA from 1 species